AGGGUUAUUGCCAAGCGGUAAGGCACAGGACUUUGACUCCUGCAUCCGAGGGUUCGAAUCCCUCUAGCCCCGUUA
rnacentral:tRNA from 1 species